GAUUCAGUGGGUGCAGUGGGUAGCACUGUCACCUCACAGCAAGGUGGUCCCAGGUUCGAAUCCGGCCUGGCCCU
rnacentral:tRNA from 1 species